rnacentral:rRNA from 1 species
AUUGAACGCUGGCGGCAGGCCUAACACAUGCAAGUCGAGCGAGCGGCGGACGGGUGAGUAAUGUAUGGGGACUGCCCGAUAGAGGGGGAUAACUACUGGAAACGGUGGCUAAUACCGCAUACUAUCGGAUAACCCAUAUGGGAUUAGCUAGUAGGGGGGGUAAAGGCUCACCUAGGCGACGAUCUCUAGCUGGUUUGAGAGGAUGAUCAGCACCACUGGGACGGGGAAACGGCCCAGACUCCUCCGGAGGAAGAGUUGGGGAAUAUCGCACAAUGGGGGAAAGCCGGAUGCAGCCAGGCCGCGUGUAGGAAGAAGGCCUUAGGUUUGUAAAGUAUGUUCAGCGGGGAGGCGUUACCCGCAGAAGAAGCACCGGCUAACUCCGUGCCAGCAGCCGCGGUAAUAC